rnacentral:rRNA from 1 species
GAUAAACGCUGGCGGCGUGCAUAACACAUGCAAGUCGAACGAAGUGGCGAACGGGUGAGUAACACGUGAGUAACCUGCCUUACAAAGGGGAUAGCCUUUGGAAACGAAGAAUAAUACCCUAUAGUGUAAGAUGGACUUGCGUCUGAUUAGCUAGUUGGUGAGAUAAAAGCCCACCAAGGCGACGAUCAGUAGCCGGCUUGAGAGAGGGUACGGCCACAUUGGGACUGAGACACGGCCCAGACUCCUACGGGAGGCAGCAGUAGGGAAUUUUCGGCAAUGGGGGGAACCCUGACCGAGCAACGCCGCGUGAGUGAAGACGGCCUUCGGGUUGUAAAGCUCUGUUGUAAGAAAAGCAUUAUCUUACCAGAAAGCCACGGCUAACUACGUGCCAGCAGCCGCGGUAAUUC